GAUGAACGCUGGCGGCGUGCCUAAUACAUGCAAGUCGAGCGAACGGACGAUAAGCUUGCUUCUCUGAUGUUAGCGGCGGACGGGUGAGUAACACGUGGAUAACCUACCUAUAAGACUGGGAUAACUUCGGGAAACCGGAGCUAAUACCGGAUAAUAUUUUGAACCGCAUGGUUCAAAAGUGAAAGACGGUCUUGCUGUCACUUAUAGAUGGAUCCGCGCUGCAUUAGCUAGUUGGUAAGGUAACGGCUUACCAAGGCAACGAUGCAUAGCCGACCUGAGAGGGUGAUCGGCCACACUGGAACUGAGACACGGUCCAGACUCCUACGGGAGGCAGCAGUAGGGAAUCUUCCGCAAUGGGCGAAAGCCUGACGGAGCAACGCCGCGUGAGUGAUGAAGGUCUUCGGAUCGUAAAACUCUGUUAUUAGGGAAGAACAUAUGUGUAAGUAACUGUGCACAUCUUGACGGUACCUAAUCAGGAAGCCACGGCUAACUACGUG
rnacentral:rRNA from 1 species